UACGUAGGGUGCAAGCGUUAUCCGGAUUCACUGGGUUUAAAGGGUGCGUAGGAGGGCAGGUAAGUCAGUGGUGAAAUCUCCGAGCUUAACUCGGAAACUGCCGUUGAUACUAUCUGUCUUGAAUACCGUGGAGGUGAGCGGAAUAUGUCAUGUAGCGGUGAAAUGCUUAGAUAUGACAUAGAACACCAAUUGCGAAGGCAGCUCACUACACGAGCAUUGACUCUGAGGCACGAAAGCGUGGGGAUCAAACAGG
rnacentral:rRNA from 1 species